GCUUGCGUGGUCUAGUGGUAAGACUCUGCUCUCCCAUGAAAUAGGUGAAAAGCAGUGAUCCUGGGUUCGAUCCCCAGCGUAAGCA